AUUUUUGGGAGACUAAACAUAGACUAAGCUGAAGCACUGUCCAAGGUGUUGAAAGGUGUGCUCGGUAGGGGUGCUAAACACUGAGAUAAUUGUCCCCCAUCCGGAUGAAGACGCCUAUGUGUUUCCUCCUCCUCCUGAGCAACAGCAGCAGCAGCAGCAGAGUCUUGGAAGCCCUGCUGCACUCUGCGGUGCAAUGUGACCUGGAUGAGAGCUGGAGGAUACUUAUCUAAUGUGGGGCAGCGCAGAUUGCAUUGUAUCCACGGGGCCGCGGAGUGCAGAGCCGGGAAACUUCAGGGACACAAUCUGCUUAAAGCAGAUAGAGAUGGCCUACUCUCUUCACUGCGAGGGGCGUCGGUCUGUUCAGCUCUGCCUCUGGUCGCAGGCCAAAAGGAAAAUGAGAGGAAAAUAAUUGAUUCAUUUACUCCCUACUGAUUAAAUUUCAUCACACAGACUCGUAGAUGACAACAUGGAGGCAGAUGUUGCUUAACCUGCAUAUUUGUCAUGUUUUUACUUUAAACUCUUAGGCACUUAUCACUAUUGGGAGCUUUAACAGUUAAUCCUCAAUUAAAAGUGUCUUUUAGUUUAUCUUAAAGUAAAAAAGUGGCCUUC